AGAGUUUGAUCAUGGCUCAGAUUGAACGCUGGCGGCAGGCCUAACACAUGCAAGUCGAGCGGAAACGAGUUAUCUGAACCUUUGGGGAACGAUAACGGCGUCGAGCGGCGGACGGGUGAGUAAUGCCUAGGAAAUUGCCCUGAUGUGGGGGAUAACCAUUGGAAACGAUGGCUAAUACCGCAUAAUACCUACGGGUCAAAGAGGGGGACCUUCGGGCCUCUCGCGUCAGGAUAUGCCUAGGUGGGAUUAGCUAGUUGGUGAGGUAAUGGCUCACCAAGGCGACGAUCCCUAGCUGGUCUGAGAGGAUGAUCAGCCACACUGGAACUGAGACACGGUCCAGACUCCUACGGGAGGCAGCAGUGGGGAAUAUUGCACAAUGGGCGCAAGCCUGAUGCAGCCAUGCCGCGUGUGUGAAGAAGGCCUUCGGGUUGUAAAGCACUUUCAGUCGUGAGGAAGGUAGUGUAGUUAAUAGCUGCAUUAUUUGACGUUAGCGACAGAAGAAGCACCGGCUAACUCCGUGCCAGCAGCCGCGGUAAU
rnacentral:rRNA from 1 species